ACAUGCAAGUCGAACGCAGUAGCAAUACUGAGUGGCAAACGGGUGAGUAUAAUGUGGGAAUCUGCCUUUUGGUUUGGAAUAACACGGGGAAACUUGUGCUAAUACCAAAUAAGCCCUUACGGGGAAAGUUUUAAUGCCGAAAGAUGAGCCCGCACUUGAUUAGCUAGUUGGUAAGGUAAAAGCUUACCAAGGCAACGAUCAAUAGCUGUUCUUAGAGGAAGACCAGCCACAUUGGGACUGAGACACGGCCCAGACUCCUACGGGAGGCAGCAGUGGGGAAUCUUGCACAAUGGGGGAAACCCUGAUGCAGCGAUGCCGCGUGAGUGAAGAAGGCCCUUGGGUUGUAAAACUCUUUCGUCGGGGAAGAAAAUGACUGUACCCGAAUAAGA
rnacentral:rRNA from 1 species